rnacentral:rRNA from 3 species
UAAACGACUCUCGGCAACGGAUAUCUCGGCUCACGCAUCGAUGAAGAACGUAGCAAAAUGCGAUACUUGGUGUGAAUUGCAGAAUCCCGUGAACCAUCGAGUUUUUGAACGCAAGUUGCGCCCGAAGCCAUUCGGCCAAGGGCACGUCUGCCUGGGCGUCACGU